UACAGAGGGUGCGAGCGUUGUUCGGAAUUAUUGGGCGUAAAGGGCGCGUAGGCGGUGCGGUAAGUCACCUGUGAAAUCUCCUGGCUCAACUGGGAGCUUGCAGGCGAAACUGCCGUGCUGGAGUGUGGGAGAGGUGCGUGGAAUUCCUGGUGUAGCGGUGAAAUGCGUAGAUAUCAGGAGGAACACCUGUGGCGAAAGCGGCGCACUGGACCAACAACUGACGCUGAGGCGCGAAAGCUAGGGGAGCAAACAGG
rnacentral:rRNA from 1 species